CCCACAUCAUGUGACACAAGGUGCAUAACUCUGACACCAAAUUUUCUUGAAUUAUGUCCCCUUUUACUUAGAAUUUAAGGUUAAAUGUAUUUUCACUAUAUAUCUCAUUCUGAAUGUCUUAGAACCAAAGGGAAGUGUAAAAUGUAAAUACAAUUUUCUGUGGUAACGCGGGUUGGUAAGACAUUGUUUUGUAUUCACUUUUAGUGUAUCUCUAAUAUUAGAGAUUUUUUAUAUUUACCUCAUCCAGGGCACAUAAUUUUACUAGUAUUACUUAUAUGUGGAAGCCCAGGAUGAAGUACUCUAAAGACGAGUAAACUUCUUUUUAAGUAUUAAACUUGUUUUGACAUUUUUAUAUUAUUCUAAGUACUUUUAAGAUUUCUAAUUUCUGAUUUUUCCGAAUAUUGCAGAAAUAAAAAAAUGCAGAAAUAAACUAGCACAAUUUCAGGAGAAAACCACAUAAUGUUUUGCCCUCAGAAUUAACCCGCUAUACGGUAGUUUGCAUCUACACAUUUAUCUAUCACAUGGAUAUGAAAACUCGAUUUUCUUCAUAAGAAUAAAACGAUAUGUUAUGAAUAACUGAUUUAAUUUUAUCUAUGGUAAUUAUCCAGUGUAAGUGUAGUGAUUGCAUUUAUUUACCCUUUAUGCAUACAUCUUUUCAGGACUUAUGGAAACUGCAAGAUUUCUUUACAACGAAGCUUGGAAUGUGUUGAAAUAUUUAGGUGACUGGGUUCCUGGAUUGUUUGCCGACUGUACACGUGCAUUAACCACAAAAGAACUCAGUAAAGUUGCCCAGGCAAUAGGAAAGAACUGGGAACUUUUAGGGCCUGCUCUUGGACUUGAUAGUAUCCUAAUGGAUCAUAUCACUGAAGAUAAUCCAAAUUCUACGGUAAAAAAGAUAUACACCAUGCUUACAACCUGGUUGAACGAAAAUCAAAGUGAGGCUACCGUUGGAAAACUUUAUCAAGCUAUGAACGAGUGCAACGAAGUUUGCUUUAAUUGGACAAAAAUCAAAAAUAUUCUUUCAGGUGUUGACGCUGUGUUCCUACGCGGAUGACGGAAAUAUUCUUGAAUAACUGUAUAUUUUAUGUGUACAUUAAGUACCAUAUUUUUCAGGUUUUCAUCGUGUCUUAAAACACAUUACAAAACAAACAGCAAUAAUUUAUAUACAGUAUGUUAUUCUUAAACAUGUAUCUUCUUUGUAUUGUUAUGCGACCUUAAUACUUGUUGGUAUCUUUUGAGUAACUAUGUAUAUGUUGCUUUGGGUCACAAUAUUUUCAAAACAUUAAAACCAUAGUAAGAAUUAGAAAUGUCUGUGUUACAUAUGAGUGCUAUCUAAACAAGUGAGUCUACUUUACUUUAUAAAUGAUAUUUAAUUGCACUAAUUGUUUUUAGACAGUUCUAUUAACUGUUUUAAACUGUGUACCAUAUUUUUUAUUUUAUUUUUUUGCUAAAGAUAUUUCGUAAAAUAGUGUCAACACUUUAUGAUAUAAUAAUAAAAAUGGCAAAGAAUUUUUAAAGUUGUGAGAAUAAUUCGAUAUUAUCAACCAUAGAUUGCAUUUUAACGUUUUAAAAUGUAAACAACAGUGAAGGUUUUGUUUUUUUCAGCUUGAAAUUACUACAUAUAAUUUUUGUCACAAAACAAUGAUUAGACUUUUAAGCAUUUAUCUACCAAUUUCUGAACAUUGAGUUUGUCUGAAUUAAGGUCAAAUAGGCGUAAUGUAGCGUAAUCUAGCGGACCCUCAAACAUUUCGUUGACGCGUUCUAAGCGUUGACGGUAAACAGCCUGAAUGCUAAAGAUUUCAUUUCGCAUCUAUUAUUUCGUCAUAUUUAAACAAUAAAAUAUCUACUUGUAGCUCAUUAAAGAAGGAUGUAACUACUGCCUAUUUUAAUUACAUUUUAAAAUGUAUAUUUUUCCAUCAAAGCUAGAAUGAGCGCCUUGAAGCAGGAAAAUAAUAUUUAUUUAUCAUUGGAGUAAAGAUACGGCUAAGAUUUUGUCAGCAUGUGACCGUAUUCAUUUUAAACACCGUUUUAUCAGUAUAUGUAUAUUUUUAAAUUUUAAAAACAUAAACAUUAUAAGCUAGAUAAUCUUUGUCAUUGUCACUUUUAAUUUGAAGAAAAACUGGGUGAUUGCAUAAGAUAUGGAAGAUCAAUGCCGUUUUCAAACUUUAGAGAAGUUUAGAAAAUUUAGAACCCUGGUCUUCCAAAUCAUGACCACCCGGAUUGUGUUUAACAUGAAUAAAUGGGAGGGAAGUGAAAACAGUAAACAAUCAAUCAGUUUUGUAUUUUAAUCUUACUUGAAUGCACUUUCUUUCAAACAACACAGACCUAUCUUUUUAACACAGAACAAAAAUAUAUUGUGUCGGGCUAGACGUUAUUUCAACAUCGGCAUAUUCAACCAUUCCCGUAAUAUUCAUUCAAACAUCUUCCAUAGGGAAAUAGAUAAAAUAAUUCAUGUUAAAAUCACUCUUUAUUGAAUAUUCGGCCAUUUGGCCUUUAUCAAAACAUGAAGAGUCAUCGAUACAGCUAUGUAACAACCAUUAUAAACAUUUAUCUUUUUAAAUGAAUGUUUUAAAAUAUGGUUCAGAAAUAUGUGCAGUUAAGAUUUUAAAAGAAUUUUGAUUUUGAAACUUCAAAUACAAAUUACCUUUAGAAAAUAUUUUUUUUGUAUAGUUCAUCCAGUCAAAAAUUACCUUAAAUCAACGACCGUCCUCCCGACAUUCAAGCAAUCAUAGGUUUGGUGUCCGGACCGUGACUAAUAUUUUUCAAUAGUUGUUACUGCGGAGAAAGAGUUUAGUGCUUGUAAAAAAAAAUAAAAAGUUGACGAAACGGGCGUAAAACCUAAAAACUAUAAUUAUUAUAAUGGGUAAUUCUGACUUUUAAGUGGGUAGAAAUAUGCACAGUCAAAUCGAAAUGAAUUUUACUAUAGACCUUAAGAAUGUACGGACCUGACAUAAAUACGUAAUUGCACUUUUCCGUUUAAAAAACAUUGUGUUGGGUUUUUUCAGAAACCUUUCAAUUAUGUAACGGCGGUCUGCUUACAAAAUGAAUGUCUCUUUAAAGUCUCUAACAAUCAGGCACUCUCCGUAAGAAAUUGAAAACUGUCCCACUUCAUGAAGCGCUGUAGGUAGUCGGGCUCAAAUUAACAUCUCCGGAUCCGGCAAUAGUUUAUGAAAGUGUUGAAACGGGCUUGAACCAAAUACGAAAAGCUAGUAUAUAAUGCAACAAGCCGAAAAAUAAAGACUUCAAAUAAUCAUACAUACAGACAAUAUGAACUUGGUUGACAAACGCGGGAAAAAGACGUUUUACUUUCGCAUUUCCAAUUUUCAUAGAAAAUAAACCCAGUAGUCAAUGAAUUUUAUAAUUCUAUUUUAUUCAAAAACAAUUCAGGAACAUUUUCGAAAAUUAAAAAAGUCUAUUUAGGAGAGUAUGCGCAGUAAAAUGUUUAACAAGACUUUUUACGCCUUUGAUUGUGUAACAGGCACAUUCAGGUAUACAAAUUCGUGAGUAAAAAUUGGAAAGAGAUCGGAAAAUGGCUUACUAUGCUUAAAAUGAAAUCUAUAUUGUUGUAACCGUUUUUUGUGAUUAACUUAUUUCCCCAAAAAUACAAACAGAUCUUCUGAAAUAUUAAUCUAAAGAAACGUGUAUACCUACCUACUAUUGGAUGAGACCAAAUAUGCCAAAAUUCAUUGAAUUGCUGAAUACGGAUAACAAAUGCUUAGCACGGAAGUUUAGAAAAUUUGUAAACAGUGCCUUUAAACUUACAAAAGAUAUAUGCCGAUAAUAAUGCUUAUAGGAAUUGAUGAUUGAAAAAGAGUUUGAUAUUUAUGUUUUACGCAUGUACAGUUUUAUCAUUUUGAAUAUGCACAGUAAGUCGUGCCUUUAUUUUGAUGAGAAAAUACAUAUAAGUUCGGACUUAUUUAUAAUGCUGACUGUAUAUUGUGCUCAUUAUACCUGCAUGUACUAUGUAUCAGUUAUUAUUUAUGUUUUUGACCUGUGCUAUAAUAAUUUUAUCCUUUGUACUAACUCUAUUGCAGUUAUGUGACAGAUUGUUUUGGCCAUAGUCAUGUUGAUGUCCUAGUAUGUAAAAGUUUUUGAGAUAAUGUAUAAUUUACACUUAAACAAUUACAAAAAUGUAUAGAGUAACAUGUGUUUUAUAAAUCACAAGUUCAUUAGUUUUGAGUAAUACGUUGAUCGUUUCGACAAGGUUAGUGUACGAUUACGUUGCUGAUAAAGACAAUUAUAUAUGGUAAUCAUUUUAUUACACAAACUACCGUGUUAUAUUUUGUCAAAUAUGACUUUGAAGCAAAGAGUUUACAAAACUAGACUUCAUACAAAACUCGUCUGAAAAUGUAUCGUAAGAUUGCAUGGGUUUGUUAUUUUCAAUAUUAUUUAUUUUAUUAGGCAUUGAUAUUAUCACGCAUUAAGGAUAUUAUUAUGCGAUGCAUUGUAAACCUUCUCCGCACAUUAACUUCAUUUGGAUAUAGAUUUAUUUGUUGUACACUGUCUUGCCAUAUAUCAUGUAUUGUAUGUCCUCAUGGGCCAUUUGGCCUAGCUGAAUAUUGAAAAUAAACUAUCAUAUUUUAAAAUUACGUCAUCUCAUAGGUUUCAACAGGCCUGUUAUAUCAAAUUAAAAAUAAUUACUUUUUGAUAUAAAUGGACGCCCCGAAAUCACUCGCCGUAAAAAGACAGUCACAACUAUUUAUGGCUUUGCUAAAACGUGCUUUUUUCAACGCCAUUUGCGUACAAAGUGUGCAUUUGACCUUUUUGAUAAUUGUACAUUGGGUAAUGAUCAGCGUUUGCUAUUAUUUAAACAUGUUAUCAAGGAUGCAACAUGUUUUUGAAAUUCCCGCUCAUUACGUCUUUUUACCUCACAAAAGUAGUCCAGAUGUUUUGAAGUCUCACAAUGUUAUUUUAUUAGGCUAAAUAUCCAGCAAUCAGUGUACGUAAUAUAAAACAUACUCAAUAGGGAAUGUAUAUUUUUAAAAGAUCGUCGAAAAAUUUAUAUCUACUAAAUACGGUCGUAAAUAGAAAAGGCUUAUCUGGAAUUUCCGUAAAUCGAUUUCAAUUCUGCUAUAAUUAUUCUACUCACGUUUCGAAGACAUUAAAAGAUCUAUUUAUGUUUUAAAAAAUCUUAAACAACUUGAAUACUUUAUCCUGAGUUUUUCAUUUUAUGUUUUAUUAAUUUAGUAUAUAUUUUUUAGAUAUGCAAAAAAAAAAAUAACUCUUAAAUAUUUAUUUUAUCUUUUGCGUAAAUCGGUUGACAUUGUAGUGUUUUCAUUCUGUAAGAUUUGUUGUUUUAAAAAUGGUCCUUAAAGACAAAGUUCUAUUUUUUAUUUUUCUUACAACUGUAGUUAUGUAUUGCAAGUGCUUAAUUUCAGAUCGUUUUUGUGUUUUACUACAAUCUUUUCAAUUGAUAUAAAAUGGAAACAUUUUUAUGUUGUAUCCACUCAGAUCAUACUUAUACUCUCUCUUUCGCUUGUUGUUGCCGAAACGUUUGUGAUAAAUGUGACUAAUAGGAGUAAUAAUUCAAAGAGAAAUAAAAUUAUAUAAGAAUGAUAAAAAACAGGUUAAUAUUUUAGACUGUGUACGUGUCAUACGCUUAGGGCAUACGCAAUUAAUUAAAUAAAAUGCUACAUUCUUCCAAAUAUUAAAUGACACAAUAGCAGUUUUAAAGUGUGUCUUCAAUUAAAAUCUUCAUUAUUAAAUACCAACAUAUUUCUAGUCUUAUUUCAACUUCAGCUACAUAUGCUUACUUACAUUAAGUCCAUGUGCAUAACUUCGAAACUGUUUACCAAACAUAUUUAAAUAAUUACCACAUUAGCACGUGGCAUCAUAUAACUCACUGAUAGAGUGAAAUUAAUUUUGUGUGUUACCGUUUCCAGAGGAGUUGCCGGAUCGAAACUGGUGUUCAUGAACGUUCUUUUUAGUUUGACAAAAAAAUAAACGCUGUACCUUAAAUUUCCGGACGAAAUUACCUUUAAACACUUGUCGUCUAUUUUCAAGUGUUGCAAAUUAAGUUUAUAACAUAACAUAUACUUUAUUUGGCAUAAAAUGACAAAUACACAUUUAUAGCCAAUACAAUUACAACAAUCAUGUAAUGUAAGAGCAUAUGACUCACAGCUUACUAAGUGAUAGUGUUUUACAGAGAAAAUAUUUACAUAUUCGCAGUUUACAAAGUAAUAAUGUUCUACUGAUAAAAUAAUUACGUAAAAUGAUGUAGAUGAUGAGCGUAAAAAUGCUUUUAAUCAUUGUUGUUUCGUUCUUUAAAUGCAAAAUACAAAAAUUUAGACAAAUUGUUCAAUAUCUGAGUAUUUGAUGCAGACAUUAAAUUUUGAAACUUUUGUACUGUUGGCCAACGACAGUAAUAUGGUUUCAAGUAUUUGCGACGUAGAUUGUAAUACUUCGGGCAAACUAACAAAAAGUGGAAUUCCUUUUCUACUGCAUUUAAAUUGCAUUUUGUACAAAGUCUGUUUUCACGUGUAAAAUUCUCGUAUCGUCCGGUUUCUAUUGCUAAAUUAUGUGAUGAUAAUCUAAAAUUUGUAAGUGAAAUUCGAAAUUUGUUAAUGUUAACUUUUUAAGAUAUUCUUCUGUUUCAAAAGAAUGUUUAUAAAUACUGUAUGUUGAUAGUCUACUAGAAUUAUUAACGUUGCCGUAUCACUCUUGCUUAUAAAUGUUGAGUAUUCUACUUUUUAUUUGCAGAAAAUUUACUGUUAAAUGUUCUUGAUUAAGUCACAGAUUUGCCAUUCCAAUUUCAUUUAAAGUUUGUUUUAUUUGAAAUACCAGUUAUUUCCAUCAUAAGAAAGACCAUUUUCUGCAUCAAGUUUUAAGACGUUAUACAUUCGUUUCAGCAAGCAGUCAUUACUUAAAGAGAGUAUUUUCAACCAAUAAUUUAUUUUAAUUAAUUUUCGUUGUAUUCGCAGGGGAUGUCUCCCGGUUUCACCAUAAAGUCAAUCAAGAUUUGUUGUCUUUUUACGCAUAAGAUUUUUCUAAGAAAUUUACAAUGUAUCAUUUCUAUAUUUUUCCCUUCAUGAUAACCAAAAGUUUCAGCACCUUAGUUUAUAAACUAACUUUAAGAUACAUGUUAGUUGUUCCGGAUAAUAACUGGAGCAAACUACUUUGGAUGUUUGCAUUCUGAGUGAAGACAAUCCCUGAUGGCUGUCACAUUUCAUUAGUUAAAUAUUUGUUAGAUUUAGCUGACUACUGCUGUUUUGUGGGUGUCUGGGUCUAUUUCCUUCAAAUUUCGUACAAUGAUUGACAUUGGUUGGCCCGUAUUUAUGAGUCUUUUAUUCUGUCACCAUAAGGUACCCUUUAUAAAAAUGUUGCAAAAUAUCAAGAAAAACUGUAUCCUUUAGCACAAGAAAUAUGUUAUAUUGACAAUCAGUCACAGAUGCCUUAGUUAAGAAAGACAUGUACCUAUAAUGUUAGGCUUGUAUACAGUAGUGUAAGUCAUGUUGCCUACCAAUAUUAACUACUCAGUCAAUCAUGUCGUCUUGCAAAUUAUUUACAUUUCAACUAACAUAUGAGAAAUUGUUUGUGCAAGAUGUAUGACACAUACAGUUACCUUAGAUAUUGUGAAAAACAAUCUGCAGUUUGUUAUUUUAAAAAAUAAAUUUUGAUAUAUUUUGUACACUGGAAAUGUUUCCUGUAAUGCUAUCUUUAAUAUUUGAACAAAUGCUGCUGUAUUUUAAUAUUUGUAUAAACAUAUUAUGUUGUUGUUUUAUGCGCUGUAUAGUCUCCAAUAAUUCUGAUAGAAUGGCUGUAUACAUGUAUAUUUGCUUAUAAUGUAUACAGAUGUGACUGGAAUAAAUAAAUAAAUAUAUGAAAAAUUGUUUGUGCCAAAUGUAUGGCACAUACGGUUACCUUAGAUAUUGUGAAAAACAAUCUGCAAUGUUAUUGUUUGACUAUGAUUUUCUUUUGUACAAAAUAAUAUAAAACACAUAACAUUAUAAAACACAGAGAUGGAUUUUCUAGAAAUUAGACACUGAUGAUAUUUCUCCUACGAUAUGGACUUCUAUCAAAUCUGUAAAAAGAUCCUUUUGAAACACAGAAUGCCACCAAGCAGAAUAAUAGCAGAGUGUCUGACUCGGUUUGUCUGUUUAUGAUGUGUCAAGAAAAUUGCAACAUAUCUCAAGCUCCCAGCAAAACGGAACUCUAUUACACAUCAGUUGAAUUGACUCCAUGAUCCCAGACAUGUAUCAAUUUAAAACAAGGUAUAAAUGGUAUUUUUAAAAGAGUCAACUCUUGGCAAGUAACCUACUAUAUUGUUUUGUUUGAAAUAGAUUUGGUAUAUGGUAUAUAAUUUCCAUGGGUUUUGGUAUUUACUAUUUUUAUGUCAUUUUUGUUUUGUAAUAACAUGUUUUGUACAUAGAAUCUAUUGUAAAAUAAAGAAAUUAUUGGCGUAAAUGGA